GACGAACGCUGGCGGCGUGCUUAACACAUGCAAGUCGAACGGAAAGGCCCUGCUUUUGUGGGGUGCUCGAGUGGCGAACGGGGGAGUAAAACGUGAGGAACAUGCACCUGUCUGUGGGAGAACUUCAGGAGACACGGGAGAAUACAGCGGAGGAUAUCCUGCUGCACGGGGGGGGAUGGAAAGAUUCGGCGGUUGUGGAUGGUCUGGAGGCUUAUGAGCUGGUUGGGCGAGUAGUGGCUGACAAAGGCUUUGACGGGUAGCCGGCCUGGGAGGGGUACCGGGCACAUGACUACUGCGAGACGGCCCAGACGCCUACGUGACGCAGCAGUCGGGAAUAUUGCACAGUGGGCCGAAGCCUGAUGCAGCAACGCUGCGUGCGGGAUGACGGCCUUCGGGUGGUAAACCGCUUUCGACUGUGACGAAGCGUGAGUGACGGUAAUGGGUAAAGAAGCACCGGCUAACUACGUG
rnacentral:rRNA from 1 species